GCCCGAGCGCGCCGCGAGCCAGGCCGGCGGGAGGGCCCUGGGCGGUGGCUGCGGGGGCGGGCGGCCAGGCCCGGCGCGGAGUCUCCGUGCCUUAUAAGGGCUGCAAGUCAGCCCAGCCAUCUGGAAUGUAGCGGGGACUAGGGGGCGGUGCUAGGACCUCCGCCCCGCGCCGGCCUCCGAGAGCGCCCCACCACUUGUGGAUUCCGGGGAAGGUAGUGGUGGGGGCGUGGAUUCCAGACCCCAGGGCCUAGGAGGGGAGGCCUGAAGCCUGAAUUUCUGGGGCCUUCAAAAUGGCAGCACCCCCCACGCGGAGGAUGUUGACUCCAACCUGGCGCUGGAUUCCAGCCUCCAACAGGCUGCACCUCUGUUCUGUGAAGCUGGCUGCUUUGGGGUACAGGGACCCGCCUCCCGACUUCCUAAUAAACAGAGUUCCUUGAUCAGAAGCAAUAUUGUGUGACAGUGAACAUGAUGGUGAAUAGGGCCAUUCAGCGGGUACAUAGAUACGGCUCUUGGCAGGCAUGGGUAAGGCAAGGAGAGCAAAUAACAACCCUGACUUAAUAUUCCAGGGAGG
rnacentral:lncRNA from 1 species